AUGGCGUGGACCGACGGCUACCACGCAAGGGUCAGUUUUGCUCUGGUUGUUUUGUCUGCGCUUCCCAGGCCUCCGGUGCUUGUAGACCGGACGCGGGGUCUCCACAGACCUAGAAAUUCCGGCCCCUCUUUCUCAACCCGGAACAAAUUGAGACGUCCAGGAUUGAUUUCUAAAGACUCAUGUUACAUGAGGAAGCAGCUCAGAAGAGGAAAGAAAAGGAGCCAGGCAUGGCUUUUCCUCAGGGACGCUUGACUUUCAGGGAUGUGGCUAUAGAAUUCUCUUUGGCAGAGUGGAAAUGCCUGACCCCUGCUCAGAGGGCUUUAUACAGGGACGUGAUGUUGGAGAACUACAGGAACCUGGAGUCUGUGGAUAUCUCUUCCAAAUGCAUAAUGAAGACGUUUUCAUCAACAGGGCAAGGCAAUACAGAAGUGUUCCACACAGGGACAUUGGCAAGACAUGAAAGUCAUCACAUUGGAGAAUUUUGCUUGCAGGAAAUUGAGAAACAUAGUCAUGACUUUGAGUUUCAAUGGCAAGAAGAUGAAAGAAAUAACCAUGAAGCAUCCAUGAUAAAAUUUAAAAAGCUGACUGGUAGUACAGACCAAUAAGAUCAAAGGCAUGCUGGAAACAAGGCUAUUAUAGAUGAACUUGGAGUAAUCUUUCAUUCCCAUCUUCCUAAACUUCAUGUGUUUCAGACCGAAGGGAAUAUUGGUAAUCAGGUUGAGAAGUCUAUCAAUGAUGCCUCCUUAGUUUCAACAUCCCAAAUAAUUUUUUCUAUAGCCAAAACCCAUAUUUCUAAUAAGCAUGACAGUAAUUUCCUCCAUUCUUCAUUAUUUACACAGAAAGUACACAUGAGAGAAAAAUCCUUCCAAUGUCAUGAGAGUGGGAAAGCCUUCAAUUGUAGCUCAUUCUUAAAGAAACAUCAGAUAAACCAUUUAGGAAAGAAACAAUAUGAAUGUGAUGUGUGUGGCAAGGUCUUAAAUGAGAAGCGGUAUCUUGUACGCCAUCGUAGAUGUCACACUGGUGAGAAACCUUACAGGUGUAAUGAGUGUGGCAAGUCCUUUAGUGACAAGUCAUGCCUUAAACGCCAUCAUAGACUUCAUACUGGAGAGAAACCUUACAAGUGUAAUGAGUGUGGCAAGACCUUCCGUCAGGUGUCAUCCCUUACAUGCCAUCGUAAACUUCAUACUGGAGAGAAACCUUACAAGUGUAAUGAGUGUGGCAAGACCUUCCGUCAGGUGUCAUCCCUUACAUGCCAUCGUAAACUUCAUACUAGAGACAAACCUCACAAGUGUAAUGACUGUGGCACGAAAUUCCAUCAGAUGUCAUCUCUUCAACACCACUGUAGACUUCAUACUGGAGAGAAACCUUACAAGUGUCAUGAGUGUGGCAAGACCUUCAUUCAAAAGUCACACCUUACAGAGCAUCGUAGACUUCAUACUGGAGAGAAACCUUACAAAUGUAUGGUUUGUGACAAGGCUUUCCGGCGUAAUUCACACCUGGCAAUACAUACUAGAAUUCACACUGCAGACAGCCCUUACAAAUGCAAUGAGUGUGGCAGGACCUUCAAUUAUAAGUCAUCCCUUACAUGCCAUCAUAGACUUCAUACUGGAGAGAAACCUUACAAAUGUAAGGUUUGUGACAAGGCUUUCAGACAAGAGUCAAACCUUAAACGACACACUAGGAUUCACACUGGAGAGAAACCUUACAAGUGUAAUGACUGUGGCAAGACCUUCUGUCGAAAUUCAUCACUUGUAAUUCAUAAGGCAAUUCAUACUGGAGAGAAACCGUACAAGUGUAAUGAAUGUGGCAAGGGUUUUGAUAAAAAAUCACGCCUUGUAUGUCAUCAUAGACUUCAUACUGCAGAGAAACCUUACAAGUGUAAUGAGUGUGGCAAGGCCUUCAGACAGGUGUCAUCCCUUACAUGCCAUCAUAGACUUCAUACGGGAGAGAAACCUUACAAGUGUCAUGAGUGUGGCAAAACUUUCAGUCACAUAUCAUCCCUUGCAUGCCAUCAUAGACUUCAUACUGGUGAGAAACCUUAUAAGUGUCAUGAGUGUGGCAAGAAAUUCCAUCAGAUGUCAUCCCUUACAUAUCAUUGUAGACUUCAUACUGGAGAGAAACCUUACAAGUGUCAUGAGUGUGGCAAGACCUUCAUUCAAAAGUCAGCACUUACAUGCCAUCAUAGAAUUCAUACUGGAGAGAAACCUUACAAAUGUAAGGUCUGUGACAAGCCUUUCAGAAGAGAUUCUCACCUAGCAAAACACAGUAUAAUUCACACUGGAGAGAAACCUUACAGUGUAAUGAGUGUGGCAAGACCUUCAGUCAGAUGCCAAAUCUAGUACGCCAUUGUAGACUUCAUACUGGAGAGAAACUUUACAAGUGUAAUGAAUGUGGCAAGGUUUUUAACCGACAAGCAACCCUUGCAUGUCAUCAUAAACUUCAUACUGAAGAGAAAACUUAUAAAUGUGAAAAAUGUGACAAAGUUUUCACUCACAAAUCACAUCUUGAAACGCAUAAGAAAAUCAUAGUGAAGAGAAAGUUUACAGAUGUAAGAUUUGUGACAAGGCUUUCACGUGUAAUUUAUACCUGGCAGAACAUACUAGGAUUCACACUGGAGAGAAACCCCACAAGUGUAAUUAGUGGUGCAAGUCCUUCAAUCGAAAUUGAUCUCUUAAUUCAUAAGGCAAUUCAUACUAGAGAGAAAGCUUACAAGUGUAAUGAAUGUGACAAGGUUUUUAAUCAAAAAUCAAAUCUUGCUCAUCAUUAUAGACUUCAUACUGGAGAGAACACUUACAAAUGUGAAGAAUGUGACGUUUUCAGUCCCAAGUCACCUUGAAAGACACAGGAUAAUUCAUACUGAACAGAAACCAUAGACAUCUGAGAUUUGUGACAAGGUUUUCGGGCAUGAUUCAUACCUGGCAUAACAUACUAGAAUUCACAAUGGAAAGAAAACUUACACGGGUAAUGAGUGUGGCCAAGCCUUUAGUGGACAGUCAACACUUAUUCGUCAUCAAGCAAUCCAUGGUAUAGGGAAACUUUAUUAAUGUAAAGAUUGUUACAAAGUCUUCACUAACGCUACAACCAUUGCAAAUUAUUGGAGAAUUCAUAGUGGAAAGAUAUCUUACAAGUGUGAUAAAUGUGGCAGAUUUUUUGAGCAUCGUUCAUACCUUUCAGUUUAUCGGCCAACUCAUGCUGGAGAGAAACCCUAAAAAUGUCAUGAUUGUGGCAAGGUCUUCAGUCAUACUUCACCUUAUGCAAAACAUAGAAUUUAUACAGGAGAGAAACCUCACCAGUGUGAUCACGGGGGCAAAGUUUUACUUUACAUUCACACAUCAUUAGACAUCAGAGAAUCCAUACCGGACAGAAAUCUUACAAAUGUCCUAAGUGUGGCAUGGUCUUUAGUCCGAGGUCACUCCUUGCAGAACAUGAGAAAAUUCA